GGCGCUAUAGCCAAGUGGUUUACGGCGACAGAUUCGAAUUACGUAAUCUUAGAAUUACGUAAUAUAAGUAUCUGUUCCUCUUUGAGGGCGCAGGUUCAAAUCCUGCUGGCGUCG